rnacentral:rRNA from 1 species
AUACGGAGGAUCCGAGCGUUAUCCGGAUUUAUUGGGUUUAAAGGGUGCGCAGGCGGCCAUUUAAGUCAGCGGUUAAAUCGUGGGGCUCAACCCCAUUCUGCCGUUGAUACUGGGUGGCUUGAUUGCGGUAGAGGUUGGCGGAAUUCGUUGUGUAGCGGUGAAAUGCAUAGAUAUGACGAAGAACACCGAUUGCGUAGGCAGCUGACCAGAUCGCAAAUGACGCUCAUGCACGAAAGUGCGGGGAUCGAACAGGAUUAGAUACCCUGGUAGUCCGCACAGUAAACGAUGAAUACUUGUUUUCGGCGAUAUAAUGUCGGAGGCAAAGCGAAAGCGAUAAGUAUUCCACCUGGGGAGUACGCCGGCAACGGUGAAACUCAAAUGAAUUGACGGGG